GGUUGUGACUGACUGACAACAGCCCGUACUCAACUGAUAAAUACAUAUGGUUCAUAGAUUCUGAAGCUUAAAAGUAAGCCACGGCCAUAUCUUUAUCCACUGAGCAUUAAUUCGUCGCAUUCAAUGCACCGAAAUCAGGUACGAAUUUUGUAGCCAGGGCUUAGAUAAGGAGCAGUGCCUGACCAGGCAAUUGGAUCACGGGGUGAAUGAAUUCAGAAGUUAUACUAUACUAUGCCAUACUCCUAUUAUCAUGCGUAGCAGAGCUAAGCUUCACAGGCUUCUUCCAUCAAUGAUGAUGGAGCCAAAGAAAGAAUUGAAAGGGCACGAGCUCGAAAGUUACGGGCGUUCAUCAAGGUGAUUGGGGGGCCAUGUGCUUUGAUCCCACAGGUCGCAUAACCUGUUGACAGACACUGGAUGGAUGAUAUGAAGACUUUUUUGUUUUAGUUUUAGAGAAAGAAAAGAAGAAGAAGAAGAAGCAGCAGUUAAAGAAAGGGCGCAUGCAGAGGGAAAUUUCCAUCCAUAAUGCUUUGGCAGCGCAGCAGGCAUCUACCACAAUGAAGUCUUUCGACUUUGUCUACGUUGGAAAAGGAUAGCUGAGGUUGAUGGAUAUGGCAAAAUAAAUUAAUUUCUCCUCAACAUGACCACACACUGCAUCUGCCCCAUGUUGUCAUGUCCUCCUCCAAUCCCCUAUUCAAAGCUAAUCUGCUCUCUGAGCAAUCAAUCAUGCGUGCAGAGAAAUGGAUGCCUCCCGAGUCACGAGAGCUCCACUUUUCUGGUCCAGCCACAGAUGAUACGGUGGUGCUUAAUAACGGCUCAUACUAUACUAACCUAAUAAUAAUAAUAUCGUACACAGUAGUAGUACGAUGGUCCAGCACUUGUGUAACGUGUCUCGUUGUGAUGAACAAAAAUUCCUAAAUGAAGAAGAGUACUUAUCAU